GAGCCACCAAAAUGGUGGUGUUCGGGUAUGAGGCUGGGACUAAGCCAAGGGAUUCAGGUGUGGUGCCGGUGGGAACUGAGGAAGCGCCCAAGGAAAUGAAACACGAUUUCCAAAAUGAACUUAAUCUUUCAUGAGAAACUGAGGAUAGAGAUGUCAAUAAGCAGCCACUGUUUCCACCUCCCCACCUGAAGAGCUAGGAGGACAACUACAAAGAGCCUGACUGCCUUCUCGGAAUGAGGAGAGAGGAAAACAGCAACAGUAUCAGUUUUCAAGAUGGCAGCAUCUAUGCAUGGUCAGCCCAGUCCUUCUCUAGAAGAUGCAAAACUCAGAAGACCAAUGGUCAUAGAAAUCAUAGAAAAAAAUUUUGACUAUCUUAGAAAAGAAAUGACACAAAAUAUAUAUCAAAUGGCGACAUUUGGAACAACAGCUGGUUUCUCUGGAAUAUUCUCAAACUUCCUGUUCAGACGCUGCUUCAAGGUUAAACAUGAUGCUUUGAAGACAUAUGCAUCAUUGGCUACACUUCCAUUUUUGUCUACUGUUGUUACUGACAAGCUUUUUGUAAUUGAUGCUUUGUAUUCAGGUGAAUUUAAAUUCACUAAUGUAUAACGUAGUUAUGUCUAAGUAAAGUUACUUAUUAACAUAUACUGUUGCUACUGCUAAUAAUAAUUCUUUACAUUUAUAUAUUGCUAUACAGUUUACAAAGUCCAUAUACCUUGUCAUAUUUAAUCCCUGCAACAAUCCUCCUAAUCAGGUAAACUGUAUUUUUUUAUUUCUGUAGAUAAGCAACCCAAACUGAGGCAUGUUCAAGUACGCUAAUAAGCAACAUACUGGGAAAAGAAUUGGCUGUGGCAUACAACGCACAUCAUUUCAGUAUGCUACCUCCUGCCACUUAAGUUUUGUGACAUUCAGUAAGGCAUUUCAUCUCUGAGCCUCCGUUGUCUUAUCUAUAAGUUAGGACUAAUAGUACUUACCUCACAGGAUUGUUGUGAGAAUUAAAAGAUACUGUAGGUUAAAUGACUACCACAAUAUCUGUCAUAUUAUGGGCUUUUAAUGUUAUUUCCUGCCCCUCACCUUACCUUGAGUUUCACAACUAGUAAUUGAUAGAGCAUCUAUCCCUUGUUCAUUCUUCAGGUUCCUGCUUAAGUAUCUUUUCCCCAGGGAGACCUCUGAUUGCCUCAUUGUACACUAGGUGUCUGGAUACAUUCUCUAUAUAGUUUAUCUUCAAAGUAUUGUGUACACUGAUAAUUAUCUAUUUAAAUAUUUAUCUCGUGUCUUUCAUCUCUGUAAACUGGCCAGAAGGUCAGAGAUCAGGUCUCUUUUAUGUACCACCGUAUUCCUAGCUCCUAGCACGUUCCUGAUAUAUAGUAGAUAAUAAAAAUGUAUUAACC
rnacentral:lncRNA from 10 species